AUGGCCACCCUUCUUUUUUCCACAUUUACUUUGACCUGUGGCUCUAGCCAGAAAAUCCAUCACACAUGUUCACUUGCUCUCACCUUCAAGCUAUUUCCCUUGUCUGGAAUGCUAUUCUCAUCCUAUUGCCAAAGCAUGAACCUUCUCUCCUUCAAAAUCCUACUCAGAACUCACCCUCAAGAUGAAACUUUCUCUGAUAAUCCUGCCCUCCACCCAGUCCAGAAAGCUCUCAGCAAUCAUUUUAUAUUCUUCAGAUGGCUCAGAGGUGAACAAUCUGCCUGCAAUACAGGAGACUUGCAGGACACAUGAGUUCGAUUCCUGGGUCAGGAAGAUUCCCUGCAGAAGGAAACGGCAAUCCACUCCCGUAUUCUUGGCCUGGAGAAUCCCCUGGACCGAGGAGCCUGGAGGGCUACAGUCUAUGAGGUCGCAAAGAAGUCAGACACGACUGAACGACUCAACAACAAAAAAUAUUCUUCAGAGGUAACUUGUCUCUCCCAGGCUGCAGGUCUAUCUUAGAAGGGAAAUCAUAUUUACUUUCAAAACGGAGAUCAGAAAACCAAACAAAGCCUGAGAAAACGUACACCACCACCUUGUAAGUUUGUGCUGAGUGGAGGGAAAAUGAAUCUGAUUCAGAAGGCCUCAUUUUUUUUUUUUUUUUUGGUGUGAAGUCUAACAGAAAAAAAUGCCACAUGGCCCUUCUCCCCGGGAUUAACUAGAUUGAGGGUUUGUUCAUUUCAGUCCAGGUAACAAAAGGGAAGCUUGGGACGGACAGAAGCUCCUUUCUCAAGGCCGGGGCUGAGAAGUGGGAAUCCUUCACCGUGACCACCUGCUUCCCUCCCUUCAAACCGGCAUUUAAAAGUGCCAAAUAUCUGUGUAUCACUCUGGGCGCGGAGCCCACGGUCUGAACCCAGCGGAGGCGGUGCACCAGAUAACAUCAAAGCCCCAGGCAGGGGCCAGAAAAGGGGGGGUGCAAAAGCAGACGAGGGAACGAAGCGCCUCCCCCUAGCAUUUCCUCUCACGCCCACUUCCAACCUAGGAGGCUUUUGGUUUCUGCUUUUGUUGUUUUUAAAAAUUAAAAGUUAAACCCAGGAAGCUGUGGAUCAGAGUUUUGUUUGGUUGUUUUGUUUUUUUUUGCGUGGCAGUCCGGGUAAGUUUUCUCUCGGUCCUUUUGUCCGGCUGGGGAAGGAGAGCCUGGGCUCCGGGGGGGCGGGAGGUGGGCACGGUUGGCAGAGCGCGCGGGGCAGGUCUCGUCGCCGGGUCGCCCCGAGGAGGAGGAGGAGGAGGAGGAGGAGGAGGAGGAGGAGGAGGA
rnacentral:lncRNA from 1 species